UACAGGGGGGGCAAGCGUUGUUCGGAAUUACUGGGCGUAAAGGGCCAGUAGGCGGCCAACUAAGUCACACGUGAAAUCCCCAGGCUUAACCUGGGAACUGCGUGUGAUACUGGAUGGCUUGAAUUCGGGAGAGGGAUGCAGAAUUCCAGGUGUAGCGGUGAAAUGCGUAGAUAUCUGGAGGAACACCGGUGGCGAAGGCGGGUCUCUGGGCCGGAACUGACGCUGAGGAGCGAAAGCGUGGGGAGCGAACAGG
rnacentral:rRNA from 1 species